UUGUGCUGCCGCUGAUGCUGAGUGACUGCUCCUUUGUGCGGCCGCGUGGGAACAGCUCCGCCGCAAACACCCCCGAAACCGCGCUUAACCAGGCGGGCACCCCUGGGAAAAACAGCCCCCAGAGCCCUGCCUUUGUCACCAACCCGCUGGGAAAGGUGGCUGUGGUGGCACUGCUGGCAUCCCUGCCCGCUGCCGGGAGAGGAGGCACCGGGAGAACAGGGACUGAAGCUUCUGCUCAUCUGCUUUGCAUGACAAAGUGUCAGAAAGCUGAGAAGAUUUUUCCUUGUGUCCAGACAAUACAGACUGAGGAUACCAUGCUGAUUCAUCAAGAUUCAGCUCCCUGCAUACUGGAUACAAAACUGGAAAGCAGAACUGACAGAAAAACGACACAAUUCCGAAUUUCAGUACUAUGCCACUGAGCCAUCAAAUAAGCAAUAGGAGCUUUUUCUUGGUGUUCUUUCUUGCUUUAAAACCUAUUCAAGGUCAUGGUUUGAAUAGAAAAGUAAUUGGAUUUGAGACACCAUAUGUUGUGGGAUGCUUAUGACAUCCCUAAUGAAUCUUAUAUGGGUACUCCUUCCAAAAAAGUGUUGACAUUAGCAUUGUAAUGACUGUUGACAUGAAAAUGUUCAUUAAAAGAAACAUCUUGAAGUCAGUGUCAUCUGAUUUUUUUUCUUUCUGUCUUCCACCCAUCAUAAUAAAAUGCCCAUCCCUGAGACACAAAGGGCUUUGCUUACCUUUCCAGGCUCCAGCCUGCCACAAUCACUCACUAGACUUUACUGCCCUUUCACAACAUCUCCUGAUUCACAGUGACAAAUCCUACACUGUAAAAAUAACCAGAUUGCAUUGCUGAGUGUCUCUUGUUAGUCAUUUCACAGUAUUUAUGGUGUUGCUUGCACAGAAUGUUAUUUCUGUGCUCUGUUUUUUAAAUCUACUACAGGUAAAUUCUGUUAAAAGAAAAAAUAUUUUUA